rnacentral:rRNA from 1 species
CCUACAGGAGGCAGCAGUGGGGAAUAUUGGACAAUGGGCGCAAGCCUGAUCCAGCCAUGCCGCGUGAGUGAUGAAGGCCUUAGGGUUGUAAAGCUCUUUUGUCCGGGACGAUAAUGACGGUACCGGAAGAAUAAGCCCCGGCUAACUUCGUGCCAGCAGCCGCGGUAAU